AAGUCGUAACAAGGUUUCCGUAGGUGAACCUGCGGAAGGAUCAUUAAAUAAAUGAGAAAGUAACUGGGAGCUCUUCUGCUCUCAUUACUCUUCUAUUUUACUGUGAACCGUUUUAUUCCACAACGUUUGAGGAAUGUUCUUAUGCCAUAGGGGUAGGCAUAUGAAAUGUUAACCGAGUUGUGAUCAAGCUUAGGCUUGGUACCCUGUUUAUAUACUUUUAUCCAUUGAUCAGAUUAUAAAAAUGUAACAUAGGUAGUAAUAUCUAUAAAACAACUUUUAACAACGGAUCUCUUGGCUUUU
rnacentral:misc_RNA from 1 species